CUGCGAUGUUUGUACAUAUUAAUUUGAACUACGUACACAAAUUUUUUUUUAUGUGUAUGAUAUAUAGUGAAAAUAGUUACAGUGUCUAUUAUACAUACAGACAUAUAUGUGAUACAUAGAUAAUAACAUUUUAGGUACAAGGGGGCUUAAUCAAAAGCAGAUAGAUAGAUGAGUGGACAUAUAUCAACUGUCCCGAAAUAUUUUCAAUUUAAUAGUAUAUACAUUUCUAUAUAAAUAGUCCCAAAGUGACUAUGUUAGAAAGAAGAAGAGCCCUGUGACUAUGCCCUACGCCUCUUGCCCUGUGACUAUGGCCCCUGGGAUGUAUUGCCCUUUAAAGACAUGAUUUGGGCAUAAUGGAUUUGUGUUGUGCUGCUG